UACAGAGGGGGCAAGCGUUGUUCGGAAUUACUGGGCGUAAAGGGCGCGUAGGCGGCCUGUUAAGUCAGACGUGAAAUCCCUCGGCUCAACCGGGGAACUGCGUCUGAUACUGGCGGGCUUGAAUUCGGGAGAGGGAUGUGGAAUUCCAGGUGUAGCGGUGAAAUGCGUAGAUAUCUGGAGGAACACCGGUGGCGAAGGCGGCUGCCUGGACCGGCCCUGACGCUGAGGCGCGAAAGCUAGGGGAGCAAACAGG
rnacentral:rRNA from 1 species